GUAGGGAAUAUUGCACAAUGGAGGAAACUCUGAUGCAGCCAUGCCGCGUGUGUGAAGAAGGCCUUCGGGUUGUAAAGCACUUUCGGAGGGGAGGAGAAUGACGUUACCCUCAGAAGAAGCACCGGCUAACUCCGUGCCAGCAGCCGCGGUAAUACGGAGGGUGCAAGCGUUAAUCGGAAUAACUGGGCGUAAAGGGCAUGCAGGCGGUUAGACAAGUAGGAUGUGAAAUCCCCGGGCUCAACCUGGGAGCUGCAUACUAAACUGUCAGACUAGAGUAUUGCAGGGGGAGACGGAAUUCCAGGUGUAGCGGUGGAAUGCGUAGAUAUCUGGAAGAACACCAAAGGCGAAGGCAGUCUCCUGGGCAAAUACUGACGCUCAUAUGCGAAAGCGUGGGUAGCAAACAGGAUUAGAAACCCUAGUAGUCC
rnacentral:rRNA from 1 species